rfam:Haemonchus contortus, ISE/inbred ISE, WGS project CAVP01000000 data, contig: Hcontortus_28358
GGCUCAAAUUUGAAGUAGAAUAGAUGAGAAUGAUCACCUGACCUUACUGAACUACUCUACUUCGAGUUUGUGCCC